rnacentral:tRNA from 1 species
ACUUUAAUAAUUUAAAAAAAAAUAGUGGUCUUGUAAACCAUCAAUAAGCGUCCAGCUUUUAAAGUA